rnacentral:rRNA from 1 species
CAGUCGCCGCGGUAAUACGUAGGUGGCAAGCGUUGUCCGGAAUUAUUGGGCGUAAAGGGCUCGCAGGCGGUUUCUUAAGUCUGAUGUGAAAGCCCCCGGCACAACCGGGGAGGGUCAUUGGAAACUGGGAAACUUGAGUGCAGAAGAGGAGAGUGGAAUUCCACGUGUAGCGGUGAAAUGCGUAGAGAUGUGGAGGAACACCAGUGGCGAAGGCGACUCUCUGGUCUGUAACUGGCGCUGAGGAGCGAAAGCGUGGGGAGCGAACAGGAUUAGAUACCCCUGUAGUCCCUGUCUCUUAUAA